rnacentral:rRNA from 1 species
CCUACGGGUGGCAGCAGUGAGGAAUAUUGGUCAAUGGACGGAAGUCUGAACCAGCCAUGCCGCGUGCAGGAUGACGGCCCUAUGAGUUGUAAACUGCUUUUGUACGGGAAUAAUAGUUCUUACGUGUGGGGUUUUGAAUGUACCAUACGAAUAAGGAUCGGCUAACUCCGUGCCAGCAGCCGCGGUAAUACGGAGGAUGCGAGCGUUAUCCGGAUUUAUUGGGUUUAAAGGGUGCGUAGGCGGGUGGUUAAGUCAGAGGUGAAAGUUUGGGGCUUAACCCUGUGACUGCAGUUGAUACUGGCCGACUAGAGAGCGGAAGCAGCAGGCGGAAUGAGUGGUGUAGCGGUGAAAUGCUUAGAUAUCACGCAGAACACCGAUUGCGAAGGCAGCUGGCUAAUCUGCAACUGACGCUGAGGCACGAAAGCGUGGGUAGCGAACAGGAUUAGAUACCCUGGUAGUC